rnacentral:rRNA from 1 species
GACGAACGCUGGCGGCGUGCCUAACACAUGCAAGUCGAACGAGGUCCAUCCUUCGGGAGAAGACCUAGUGGCGAACGGGUGAGUAACACGUGAAGAACCUGCCCCGAAGACCGGGAUAACCCUCCGAAAGGAGAGCUAAUACCGGAUACCCCCACGAACCGCAUGGUUUGGUGAGGAAAUGGAUUCCGCUUCGGGAGGGCUUCGCGGCCUAUCAGCUAGUUGGUGGGGUAACGGCCACCAAGGCAUCGACGGGUAGCUGGUCUGAGAGGACGAUCAGCCACACUGGGACUGAGACACGGCCCAGACUCCUACGGGAGGCAGCAGUGGGGAAUCUUGCGCAAUGGGCGAAAGCCUGACGCAGCAACGCCGCGUGGGGGAUGAAGGCUCUCGGGUU